UACGUAGAAGACUAGUGUUAUUCAUCUUUAAUAGGUUUAAAGGGUACCUAGACGGUAUAAUUAGUCUUUAACAGGAAACGGUUAUACUAGAGUUAUAUAUGAGGAGGUGAGUAUUUGUGGAGUAGAGUUGAAAUUCUUUGAUACCAUGAAGACUGGUAAAGGCGAAAGCAAUCUUCUAUGUAAAAACUGACGUUGAGGGACGAAGGCCCGGGUAACAAGCAGG
rnacentral:rRNA from 1 species